rnacentral:tRNA from 1 species
GCACUAGUAGCUCAGUUUCAGAGCAUUGGUCUUGUAAACCAAAUGCCGGAAGUUAAAAUCUCCCCUACUGCU